UUAAUUGAAACCAAAAAGCGGUGCGCCACUGUUAAUGGCCUAAUUGGAAGGAUUUUCCCAAUUAAA
rnacentral:tRNA from 1 species